CCACUUGAGGCAGCUAUACGUGAAUUGCUUAGGCCGCUUGCAGCCAGCGUUGACAAAACAGGCGCCUGCUCGAUCGGUGUGCCACUGGGCGCCACCGAAUGUACUCCUAAGGGAGACGUAUGAGCGAAAUUCGUGGUCGCCGUGAUUGAAUCCCCACAGGGGGCCGCGGCAUACCACUGGUUUUGGCUGUUCAAUUGAGAAGCAGCCAGCGUCGAUAAAACAGGUGUGUGCUCGAUCGGUGUGCCACUGGGCGCCACCGAGUGUACUCCAAAGGGAGACGUAUGAGCGAAAUUCGUGGUCGCCGUGAUUGAAUCCCCACAGGGGGCCGCGGCAUACCACUGGUUUUGGCUGUUCAAUUGAGAAGCAGCUAGCGUCGAUAAAACAGGUGUGUGCUCGAUCGGUGUGCCACUGGGCGCCACCGAGUGUACUCCAAAGGGAGACGUAUGAGCGGAAUUCGUGGUCGCCGUGAUUGAAUCCCCACAGGGGGCCGCGGCAUACCACUGGUUUUGGCUGUUCAAUUGAGAAGCAGCUAGCGUCGAUAAAACAGGUGUGUGCUCGAUCGGUGUGCCACUGGGCGCCACCGAGUGUACUCCAAAGGGAGACGUAUGAGCGGAAUUCGUGGUCGCCGUGAUUGAAUCCCCACAGAGGGCCGCGGCAUUCCACUGGUUUUGGCUGUUCAAUUGAGAAGCAGCCAACGGGCAAAAGUCGGAGAGGGCUAAGGCCCCGUUCCCGCGCUGCGCUCCGUUUACUCCCGAAGGAGUCAAUGAUCGGGAGCGCUGCGACAUCGCGCUGCUUGGCAUUCCAAA